rnacentral:rRNA from 1 species
UACGUAGGGUGCAAGCGUUGUCCGGAAUUAUUGGGCGUAAAGAGCUCGUAGGCGGUUUGUCGCGUCUGCUGUGAAAACUGGAGGCUCAACCUCCAGCCUGCAGUGGGUACGGGCAAACUAGAGUGCGGUAGGGGAGAUUGGAAUUCCUGGUGUAGCGGUGGAAUGCGCAGAUAUCAGGAGGAACACCGAUGGCGAAGGCAGAUCUCUGGGCCGUAACUGACGCUGAGGAGCGGAAGCAUGGGGAGCGAACAGG